CAAUGGUAUACUGUUUUAGAUCUGAAAGAUGCUUUUUUUAGCUUACCCCUAGCACCUAAGAGCCAAGAGCUUUUUGCCUUCAAAUGGACGGACCCAGAAAGAGGCAUCAACGGACAGCUAACUUGGACACAGCUGCCACAAGGGUUUAAAAACUCUCCCACCCUAUUCGAUAAGGCUCUUCAUGAAGACCUGAGUGAGUACAGACAGACACACCUAAACCUAACCCUCUCACAAUAUGUAGAUGAUCUACUGAUAGCAGCACAGACCCUCGAGGAAUGCACCCGAGGAACAGAGGACCUCUUGCACACUUUGGGGAGCCUGGACUACAGAGCAUCCGCUAAGAAGGCCCAACUCUGCAAGACCGAGGUAACAUACCUGGGGUACCUAUUGAAAGGGGGGCAACGAUGGCUGACCCCUGCACGCAAGGAGACUGUGCUCCGAAUCCCCCAACCGCAGUCGCAACGACAGGUUCGGGAGUUUUUGGGGUCAGCCGGGUUCUGCCGAUUGUGGAUCCCUGGGUUUGCUGAAUUGGCCAAACCCCUCUACCUGAUGACAAAAGAUCAGCACCUUCCAAUGGACAGAGAACACAGCGCUGUUUUCGGCCCCAGCACUGGGACUCCCUGAUGCCUCCAAGCCUUUUCAACUGUUUGUGGACGAGAGUAAGGGGGUAGCUAAGGGAGUUCUGACUCAGCCCAUAGGCCCUUGGAAACGGCCUGAAGCAUACUUAUCAAAGAAACUUGACUCUGUAGCCGCUGGAUGGCCCCUUGUCUCACAAUGAUAGCGGCCACAGCCCUGAUGGUAAAAGAUGCAGACAAGCUAACCAUGGGGGGCAAGAACUGCAGGUCACCACACCCCAUGCUGUUGAAGGCCUCCUAAAGCAGCCUCCCGACCGAUGGCUUAGCAAUGCACGGCUAACUCACUACCAAGGGCUGUUGCUAAACCCUCUCAGAAUUUUCUUUCAGCCACCAACCACCCUAAACCCCGCCUCCCUGCUCCCUGACCCGGACCUGGAGGCCCCACUCCAUGAUUGUGCCGAAGUGUUAGCCCAGGUGCACGGAGUAAGAGAAGAUCUACGAGAUCAACCCCUGCCCAACGCUGAGGUAACCUGGUUUACCCACGGGAGCAGCUUCGUGCAUCAAGGACGGAGAGAUACAUACUGAACCAUUUGAAGAAUCUCUGAGAUUUGCCUGUGGAAUACUGCAGUAACAAGUGAGGCAAGAAGGAAAGAAACAAGGCAAAAGAUGAAGCAAAAUUGGCAAAAUGUCAAAAUCUGCUGAAGUUCUAUGGGAGGUUCAUGGACACAUGGGCAAUGAAAUAGCUCCACUUACCGGGAGCAGCAAGCAAAGAAGGAAAAGAAAGGAAGGCCAAUGGCUGCCCACGCCUCACCGCGGCUGCCCAUGCCAUAAUGCUGCCUCACUGCUGAGCCCAGAGAAGCACGGCGUCUCAGACUCAGCACUCCCCUGAAUGAGUUUCAGUAUCACACAAAGGAUCACAAUACAAAAGGCCAGGUGGAUGACUUCUUGUGAAGGUGCUUGUAUACUUACAGUGUAUAAUUUGUGUGUACAUCUAUGUAAAGACAUUAGUUGUCUGGGUUCACUUCUGAGAAUGAAAAAUUUGGGUUCCUUAUUCUUUCAAGGAAUUGGUAUCCAAACCAAGAACCAAACCA